rnacentral:lncRNA from 1 species
CAGGCCAUAUAAUGCGGGAAGCAAUAAUUAGAUGAAAAUAGAUCCGGACUAAUUUGUAGGUUUAUUUUUAACAGAGCACAGUAAUAAUCAUUUUAAAUUUAGGAUAUGAUUGCAACUAUAUUUUUGCUGAAAAUUCGAGCAUCUCCAUACAAGGCAAAAAAGAAGGCAUGGCAAAGAAUGUUUUGGUGAUUUUUAAUGAAUAGAAUAUAUAUGAAUCCAUCAUGUAAUAUUUUCCCA